rnacentral:rRNA from 1 species
CCUACGGGUGGCAGCAGUGAGGAAUAUUGGUCAAUGGGCGCGAGCCUGAACGAGCCAAGCAGCGUGAAGGAUGACUGUCUUACGGGCUGGAAACUUUGUUUUUAAAGGAAUAAAGGGAGGCAAGUGUGUAUUCUCGUAUUUACUGUACGAAUAAGGAACGGCUAACUUCGCUACAGCAGCCGCGGGAAUACGGUGGAUCCGUGCGUUACCCGGAUUGAUAUGGUUUAAAGGGAGCGUAGGGGGGUCGUUAAGUCAGUUGUGAAAGUCUACGGCUCAACCGUAAAAUGGCAGUUGAAACUGGAAGUCUUGAGUGCAGUAGAGGUGAGCGGAAUUCGAUGUGUAGCGGUGAAAUGCUUAGAUAUCACGAGGAACACCAGUUGCGAAGGCGAUUCACUGGUCUGCAACUGACACUGAUGCUCGAAAGUGUGGGUAUCAAACAGGAUUAGAUACCCCGGUAGUC